UGGGGAAUAUUGCACAAUGGGCGAAAGCCUGAUGCAGCAACGCCGCGUGAGUGAUGAAGGCCUUCGGGUUGUAAAGCUCUGUCUUUUGGGACGAUAAUGACGGUACCAAAGGAGGAAGCCACGGCUAACUACGUGCCAGCAGCCGCGGUAAUACGUAGGUGGCAAGCGUUGUCCGGAUUUACUGGGCGUAAAGGAUGCGUAGGCGGAUUUUUAAGUGAGAUGUGAAAACCCUAAGCUUAACUUGGGGACUGCAUUUCAUACUGGAAAUCUAGAGUGCGGGAGAGGAGAAUGGAAUUCCUAGUGUAGCGGUGAAAUGCGUAGAGAUUAGGAAGAACACCAGUGGCGAAGGCGAUUCUCUGGACCGUAACUGACGCUGAGGCAUGAAAGCGUGGGUAGCAAACAGGAUUAGAUACCCUGGUAGUCCACGCCGUAAACGAUGAGUACUAGGUGUAGGAGGUAUCGACCCCUUCUGUGCCGUAGUUAACACAAUAAGUACUCCGCCUGGGAAGUACGAUCGCAAGAUUAAAACUCAAAUGAAUUGACGGGGUCAUAGC
rnacentral:rRNA from 1 species